rnacentral:lncRNA from 1 species
GUGUAACCAGGAGAAAGGCCUUUUGAGCUAGGAAAAUGUGCUAGUCUAGGAACAGAAUGACGAGUUAAGCCCAGAGAAGUUCACAGGGAAGGUGAAGAGUCUGGCAUAUGGAUCCUCAGAGAACUGCGAAGAAGAAACUGCAAACUGCUGCAGAUGCAUUUGGUGUUUAUCAAGCAGAUGUACUCCUCUGGAUGGAAAGAAACAGAGCUGCUGGAUCAGAUGCCUGUUGGUCCAGGACAGCUCUUGAACCUUUGGAUGCUCUACAGUCCCUUGAACCCUUGGGUAGUCUACAGUAUUUCCGUAAGGUAUCUUCAAAGGCCUUGGAUUCUACAGUAAAUAAAUCCAGAAGAAUGCUAAUGAGAUCUGAAGACAUUUUUUCAAAAUGGCAAGUGAGGUGA